CACGUCCGUAGGGAAAUUCCUUCCCUUCCCUUCAAGUCUCCGCGGACUCUGGCGGGCGUGGGCUGCCUGCAGCUCCAGCUCUGGUGGGACAAGAACCUUCGAGGGGAAAGCACGGGCACACCAGGUCUGCAUUCCACUGUUCUUCGUGCAUAGUUCCUGUACAGACCUUGAAGUGGGACAAAAGGGCAGAAGUUGCAGCCAAAGGAGUCCUUAAAGGAUCAACUGAUAUUCAUUUACAUCUCAGGGGAAACUCCCUAUCUCAUGUGUUCUUAUUUCACACGCAGGAAAGGCAUCUUAAGUCAUUUCCUGACAUCCUUCAUACCCAGAGUCUACUCUCCCACUAUUGGCUGAAGGAAGUGCUGGCAGACUAGUGGAUCAAGUCGUCUCCCCAUUAGGUAAAGAAUGUGGCUUUCUCAAAAGACGACAGAGAGGAAACUAUAAUGGCCUGCCUAUUGUGAAGCUGGAAUAUCUCUAGGAAAAUCAGCACCUUAAAAAUAUGCAGCUCCAGGUUGAGGUUGAAACUGCUAGACAAAGCUGAAUGCAGCCAAUGCAAAGUCUUGAUCUGAAGUAAGCAGGCAUUAAAGCAACUCUUGCUUA